rnacentral:rRNA from 1 species
GAUAAUGACGGUAGUCGGAGAAGAAGCCCCGGCUAACUUCGUGCCAGCAGCCGCGGUAAUACGAAGGGGGCUAGCGUUGUUCGGAAUUACUGGGCGUAAAGCGCACGUAGGCGGAUAUUUAAGUCAGGGGUGAAAUCCCGCAGCUCAACUGCGGAACUGCCUUUGAUACUGGGUAUCUUGAGUAUGGAAGAGGUAAGUGGAAUUCCGAGUGUAGAGGUGAAAUUCGUAGAUAUUCGGAGGAACACCAGUGGCGAAGGCGGCUUACUGGUCCAUUACUGACGCUGAGGUGCGAAAGCGUGGGGA